AAAAAGGGUGUUUGCCGCUUAGAUGGUACACGCGCCGGUAACGGUGCGUGGGGUAUGGUUAUCAAGACAUACUCAACACGUAAUUUUUGUAACGGAGAGGCAGUUGGCUACCCACAAGUACCGGCGCCUCC